rnacentral:rRNA from 1 species
UGCAGCGACGCCGCGUGCGGGAUGAAGGCCUUCGGGUUGUAAACCGCUUUCAGKAGGGACGAAAAUGACGGUACCUCCAGAAGAAGCCCCGGCCAACUACGUGCCAGCAGCCGCGGUAACACGUAGGGGGCGAGCGUUGUCCGGAUUUAUUGGGCGUAAAGGGCUCGUAGGCGGUUCAGCAAGUCAACCGUGAAAACCCGGGGCUCAACCCCGGGACGCCGGUCGAAACUGCUGUGACUAGGGUCCGGUAGAGGUGAGUGGAAUUCUCGGUGUAGCGGUGAAAUGCGCAGAUAUCGAGAGGAACACCAGUAGCGAAGGCGGCUCACUGGGCCGGUACUGACGCUGAGGUGCGAAAGCGUGGGGAGCGAACAGGAUUAGAUACCCUGGUAGUCCACGCCGUAAACGAUGAGAACUAGAUGUUGGGAGGAUUUGCCUUUCAGUGUCGCAGCUAACGCAUUAAGUUCUCCGCCUGGGGAGUACGCCGGCAACGGUAAAACUCAAAGGAAUUGACGGGGACCCGCACAAGCGGUGGAGCAUGUGGUUUAAUUCGAUGCAACGCGAAGAACCUUACCUGGCCUUGACAUCCUCGGAACUUUCCAGAGAUGGAUUGGUGCCUUCGGGAACCGAGUGACAGGUGCUGCAUGGCUGUCGUCAGCUCGUGUCGUGAGAUGUUGGGUUAAGUCCCGCAACGAGCGCAACCCUUGUCCCUAGUUGCCAGCA